rnacentral:rRNA from 1 species
GAUGAACGCUAGCUACAGGCUUAACACAUGCAAGUCGAGGGGCAGCAUGAACUUAGCUUGCUAAGUUUGAUGGCGACCGGCGCACGGGUGAGUAACACGUAUCCAACCUUCCGUUUACUCAGGGAUAGCCUUUCGAAAGAAAGAUUAAUACCUGAUAGUAUGGUGAGAUUGCAUGAUAGCACCAUUAAAGAUUUAUUGGUAAACGAUGGGGAUGCGUUCCAUUAGGUAGUAGGCGGGGUAACGGCCCACCUAGCCGACGAUGGAUAGGGGUUCUGAGAGGAAGGUCCCCCCANAUUGGAACUGAGACACGGUCCAAACUCCUACGGGAGCAGCAGUGAGGAAUAUUGGUCAAUGGACAGAGUCUGAACCAGCCAAGUAGCGUGCAGGAUGACGGCCCUAUGGGUUGUAAACUGCUUUUAUAAGGGAUAAAGUGAGUCUCGUGAGACUUUUUGCAUGUACCUUAUGAAUAAGGACCGG